rnacentral:rRNA from 1 species
AGUGAACGCUGGCGGUGGGCCUAACACAUGCAAGUCGAACGGCAGCACCGUACGAGCUUGCUCUUACGGGUGGGGAGUGGCGGACGGGUGAGGAAUACAACCGACUCUACUUUUUCGUGGGGGCUAACGUAGGUAAACUUAAGAUAAUACAGGAUACGCCCUUCGGGUGAAAGCAGGGGAUAUUCGGCCCUGGCGGGUGUGGAUGGGCCGGUGUCGUAUUAGCUUGUUGGUGGGGUGGUGGCCCACCACGGCGACGAUGGGUCGCCGGUCUGAGUGGAUGACCGGCCACACUGGGACUGAGAUACGGCACAGACUGCUACGGGAGGCAGCAGUGGGGAAUAUUGCACAAUGGGCGGAAGCCUGAUGAAGAAACGCCGCGUGCGGGAUGACGGCCUUCGGGUUGUAAAACGCUUUCGGCUGUGACCACGCGUGAGUGACGGUAAUGGGUAAAGAAGCACCGGCUAACUACGGG